GUGGGGAAUAUUGGACAAUGGGCGAAAGCCUGAUCCAGCAAUGCCGCGUGAGUAAUGAAGGCCUUCGGGUUGUAAACCGCUUUUGUCAGGGAAGAAACGCGCUUGGCUAAUACCUUGGCGUAAUGACGGUACCUGAAGAAUAAGCACCGGCUAACUACGUGCCAGCAGCCGCAGUAAUACGUAGGGUGCGAGCGUUAAUCGGAAUUACUGGGCGUAAAGCGUGCGCAGGCGGCUUUGCAAGACAGAUGUGAAAUCCCCGGGCUCAACCUGGGAACUGCAUUUGUGACUGCAUGGCUGGAGUGCGGCAGAGGGGGAUGGAAUUCCGCGUGUAGCAGUGAAAUGCGUAGAUAUGCGGAGGAACACCGAUGGCGAAGGCAAUCCCCUGGGCCUGCACUGACGCUCAUGCACGAAAGCGUGGGGAGCAAA
rnacentral:rRNA from 1 species